rnacentral:rRNA from 1 species
UACGGAGGAUGCGAGCGUUAUCCGGAUUCAUUGGGUUUAAAGGGUGCGUAGGCGGACUAAUAAGUCAGUGGUGAAAUCCUGCAGCUUAACUGCAGAACUGCCAUUGAUACUGUUAGUCUUGAGUUUGGUUAAGGUAGGCGGAAUGUGUAAUGUAGCGGUGAAAUGCUUAGAUAUUACACAGAACACCAAUUGCGUAGGCAGCUUACUGGACCGACACUGACGCUGAGGCACGAAAGCGUGGGGAUCGAACAGG